UACGUAGGGGGCUAGCGUUGUCCGGAAUUAUUGGGCGUAAAGCGCACGUAGGCGGCUUAGCAAGUUGGAUGUGAAAGCCCUCGGCUUAACCAAGGAAGUGCAUCCAAAACUGCUGAGCUUGAGUAGUUAAGAGGAUCGCGGAAUUCCCGGUGUAGAGGUGAAAUUCGUAGAUAUCGGGAGGAACACCAGUGGCGAAGGCGGCGAUCUGGGAACAUACUGACGCUGAGGUGCGAAAGCGUAGGGAGCAAACAGG
rnacentral:rRNA from 1 species